rnacentral:lncRNA from 1 species
AACAGUAGAUUUUCACAUAUCUGUUGAUUUGAACUACUUUUCUUUUCAGACCGCAUGAUAUAAGAAGAGGCGUGACUCUAGCAUCAGAGAAUCUGUGUUUAAAUUCUGCUUCUGAUAUCUUUGUGAUCUUGGGCGGUCUGUUCUACCACAGACUUCUCAGAGGGCAGGCGAGAAUCAAGUAAAACUUCUUGGGGCAGG